UACGGAGGGUGCGAGCGUUGUCCGGAAUCACUGGGCGUAAAGGGCGCGUAGGCGGCCCUGGCAGUCGGUGGUGAAAGCCCGCGGCUCAACUGCGGGUCGGCCACCGAUACUCCAGGGCUCGAGUUUGGUAGAGGCAGAUGGAAUUCCGGGUGUAGCGGUGGAAUGCGUAGAGAUCCGGAAGAACACCGGUGGCGAAGGCGGUCUGCUGGGC
rnacentral:rRNA from 1 species